rnacentral:rRNA from 1 species
CAGUAGCCGCGGUAAUGCGUAGGGUGCGAGCGUUAAUCGGAAUUACUGGGCGUAAAGCGUGCGCAGGCGGUUAUAUAAGACAGAUGUGAAAUCCCCGGGCUCAACCUGGGACCUGCAUUUGUGACUGUAUAGCUAGAGUACGGUAGAGGGGGAUGGAAUUCCGCGUGUAGCAGUGAAAUGCGUAGAUAUCGGAAGGAACACCUGUGGCGAAAGCGGCUCACUAGACCAUAACUGACGCUGAUGCACGAAAGCUAGGGGAGCAAACAGGAUUAGAUACCCCAGUAGUCCCUGUCUCUUAUAC